rnacentral:rRNA from 1 species
GAUGAACGCUAGCUACAGGCUUAACACAUGCAAGUCGAGGGGCAGCAUGGUCUUAGCUUGCUAAGGCCGAUGGCGACCGGCGCACGGGUGAGUAACACGUAUCCAACCUGCCGUCUACUCUUGGACAGCCUUCUGAAAGGAAGGUUAAUACAAGAUGGCAUCAUGAGUUCACAUGUUCACAUGAUUAAAGGUAUUCCGGUAGACGAUGGGGAUGCGUUCCAUUAGAUAGUUGGCGGGGCAACGGCCCACCAAGGCGACGAUGCGUAGGGGUUCUGAGAGGAAGGUCCCCCACACUGGUACUGAGACACGGACCAG